rnacentral:rRNA from 1 species
UACGAAGGGUGCAAACGUUGCUCGGAAUCAUUGGGCGUAAAGCGCACGUAGGCGGCUUGCCAAGUCGGACGUGAAAUCCCUCGGCUCAACUGAGGAACUGCCUUUGAAACUGAUGGGCUUGAGGCCGGGAGGGGGUAGCGGAAUUCCCAGUGUAGCGGUGAAAUGCGUAGAUAUUGGGAGGAACACCAGUUGCGAAGGCGGCUAACUGGCAUGGUACUGACGCUGAGGCGCGAAAGCGUGGGGAGCAAACAGG